UACGAAGGGGGCUAGCGUUGCUCGGAUUGACUGGGCGUAAAGGGCGCGUAGGCGGUUCGUACAGUCAGACGUGAAAUUCCUGGGCUCAACUCCAGAACUGCCUUUGAUACUGGCGAUCUCGAGUCCGGGAGAGGUGAGUGGAACUGCGAGUGUAGAGGUGAAAUUCGUAGAUAUUCGCAAGAACACCAGUGGCGAAGGCGGCUCACUGGCCCGGUACUGACGCUGAGGUGCGAAAGCGUGGGGAGCAAACAGG
rnacentral:rRNA from 1 species